rnacentral:ncRNA from 1 species
CGAUCCCUCGCGGGAGAGAUCACUGGCCGGUUCACCGGACAGUGGCGCCGAAGGAGCAACCGCCCCGGAAACUCUCAGGCAAAAGGACCGCAAGGGGGAU